rnacentral:ncRNA from 1 species
AAUUUGUCGAAUAAAUAGGCUUCCAAAAAAUCAAAAAAGUGCGUAUUAUAUGCGCCUGAAUAUCAGCAUAUGCUGACAAUUAGAUGAUAUAAACAAGUACGGUUUUUUUAGCCGUACUUUUUAUUUGGAUGAUCCAUAAAAAAACUGCUUCAAUUUUAAUCACUUAUGUAAGA